CCCGCCUCAUCGUGAUUGGCAGACAGCUUGUCCAGCAUCUCUCGGUCCACGUUCAGGAUGCGCUGCUCCAGGACGCCGGCGUAAAACGGAGCGCUUUCCUUCCUUUCUCGCUCCAACGCCUGCAGCUGCUGCUUCAAGGCUUCGGGCAGAGACACCGCACAAGUGUACCAGUGACGGCAAUGAUGGAAACUGUUCUGAAGAAAAUGGACCUUUUCACGUGCCUGUCAAGCAUCUUUAUCAGAUGAGACCAAUUGACGCAUUCACUUGCAACACGGAGGCCCGUGCCGCUUACCUCCCCCCCAUGGCCGUCAAAGAUGCCGAAGAUGGACGGGUGGCUCUUGUUGGCGAUGUCGGUGAGCACGUCGUAGCGGUCCUCCAUGUGAUCCCUUCUGCCUUGUAUGGAGUACACGGCCACGUUGUCGCUCUUGAACUCCCAGGUCUUUGAAAACUCGGCGUCCAGCACGCUGAGGCCUCCCAGCCGGUCGUUGUGCAUCAUCUCGGCCACUUUGCCCUUCACCAUCUUCACGGCGUCGCGGCUUGACUUGACUAUGGUCUUCACCUCAUCCGUGUGGAAGAAGUAGCUCCACAACGCCAGGCUGAUGCACAGAAGGAACAGCGUCUCUGGCCUUAGGAGAAAAUAGCGCAUGAUCCGACCCAGAAGAGACAAGAGCGUCAUCGUGUCUCCUAUCAUCACACGCCGCCCAAAACACGGUUCACUCCAUCAACGGGGGACAUUGAACGCACCACCGCCGCCACCGAGGCCUGCCGGAGCUUCUGCUGCCGCGACUACCGCACGCCGGGCGGCUAUGACUCAGACGGCGGAGCCACCUUCAUUCGCUUCGGGUUUAAAUCAGCAGCGAACUGACUUCCGACCUAAGCCCGAGGUCUCGCGGUCCAUCUCGGGAGGUGGACGCGGAUGUUGUUGGUGGCUCAGACCCACCCCGUGGAGAGCGACACGGAGGGGGGCGGGGGUAGGAAAAGCCGGCCUCCUUUCAGCUGCGGCGGACUCUGGUUUUACUUCUCAAAGUGAAGCAGGACAACGUUUAACCCCAAAACACAAACACACACAUCGCACUCCCCACGAGAGUAAAAUGAUACAGUAAGAAGACACGCGUGAUACGGAGAGAAACACUUUGUUUUGAAAAUCUAAAUCGGAUGUAUCGACAUUCGAACGCUCUCUCUGAUGCGCUCACGCUGAUGCGUACUACGCAGUGAUAUCAAGUGCGCAGCCGCAACACUUUGGUCGAAAACGGUCUGUGUUGGGAAAAUAAAAGUACAUUUUAUCACUCGGCUUGAAUUUUGUUUUUGCGGAAUCUCAAUCCGAACAUUUCGCCAUACACCAAAUAGUAUUAGUCUCUCACGCUGAUUUGUGACCGCUGCAGAGAACGAAGAUGUCGCCUUCCAACCAAAACCGGUUUUAUCUACGUCCCUUGCGAGUUCCUAAAAUAUGACUCUUUGAAAAGUAACAUAGUUGAAGUAUAAAUUGGGGUUUAUUCUUGCGUCAAGUUCCUUUGCCUUAACCUGCAAAAAAUAAUUAUAGUAACUGAAAUUGAAAUAAAAUUGCUCCACAAUUA